ACCCUGCUCUGAGAAGUUGUCACUCUCAGAUUCAGAGUCGCUUGUCUCAUCCCGGGGGCAACCCCUUGUGGCUAAGAACAGGAUGGGACGCGCAACUCUGUUUCUGAAGGCUCUCUGGUUGUAGCAGCUCAUGA
rnacentral:precursor_RNA from 13 species